CCUACGGGUGGCAGCAGUGGGGAAUAUUGCACAAUGGGGGACACCCUGAUGCAGCGACGCCGCGUGAGCGAAGAAGUAUUUCGGUAUGUAAAGCUCUAUCAGCAGGGAAGAAAAUGACGGUACCUGAGUAAGAAGCUACGGCUAAAUACGUGCCAGCAGCCGCGGUAAUACGUAUGGAGCAAGCGUUAACCGGUUUUACUGGGCGGAAAGGGAUCGUAGGCGGCCUGCCGAGUCUGAUGGGAAAUACCGGGGCGUAACCCCGGGGCUGGAUUGGAAACUGGCAGGCUGGAGUGGCGGAGAGGCAGGCGGAAUUCCUAGUGAAGCGGUGAAAUGCGUAGAUAUUAGGAGGAACACCAGUGGCGAAGGCAGCCUGCUGGACGGUGACUGACGCUGAGGCUCGAAAGCGUGGGGAGCAAACAGGAUUAGAUACCCCGGUAGUC
rnacentral:rRNA from 1 species